rnacentral:tRNA from 2 species
GCCCAGGUGGCGGAAUUGGUAGACGCACUACUUUGAGGUGGUAGCGCCGCGAGGUGUAGGAGUUCGAGUCUCCUCCUGGGCA